rnacentral:lncRNA from 1 species
GGGGGCUCGGUGGGGACCCUGCAUGGUGACCCCCGGUGACCCCCGGUGACCCCAUGGCACGGGGCACCGAGAAACGCCGUGACCCAGCCUGGGGACCCCCCCCGGGGGCUGGCGGAGAUGUGGCCGGGGGUGGCAGCACGGGGGCCAGGACGGGUGCGGGGGGGCACGGCGGUGACCCCGGGGCCGGGCAGAGGGGAGCCCCCCCCCCCCCGGGAGCCGUGGGACCCAGCCUGGCCCCGUGCCCCGGCACAGCCCUGUGAUUAGCGGGGAGCGCAGCGCCGCGCAGCCCGGGCUCGCCGCCCGACCCCACCGCGAUGGGGCCAACGAGCGGGCACCGGGAACGGGGCUGCCCCCCCUGAGCCCCCCAUCCCUUCUGCUGCGUCCCCCCGUGCCCCUCGCCCGGUGCCCGUCCCGUUGCGGGACGCUGGCUCCCGGUGCCGUGGAGCCGGGUGCGCGUCCCGCUCCCCACGGUGCCCCCCGACCCUCUCCAUGUCCCCCCCAGGAGCCUCUCCCGGCACAGCCGCCCCCAGCCCGGCCACGCUCGCCCCUCGCCGGCCCCCCCGUGCCCAGCGGGAGCCUGGCGGUGCGCAGAGGUGUGGCUGCCUCGGAACAGUUACUGGGACUUGGCAGCGGAGCGGGGUUUGGAUGAAGUGGCCUGCUACAGGCUUGACGGAACAAAGCGUCUCGCUGCUGCUGCUGCUGCUGCUUUUUUUUUUUUCCUCGCGCCCCGGUAUAAAAGCUCCCGGCGGUGUCCGGGCACUUGGCACAGAGCAGACGGACAGACAGACAGACAGACAGCGGGCAGCUCAGCCCGCGGCAGGGGCUGUGCCAAGGGUUCCCGGCCCCACCAGGCACAAUCCUGUCCCUGGGGCACCCUCGGGGCCUCCAGCACGGGAGCGAGGAGCAGCAGGAGCGCGGCGCCGGGCGAUGGGGUGAGUGGGGCCGGGCAGGGGCAGGGGGGGCACGCAGCCCCCAGCCCAGCCGGGGGUCAGGGGCUGGUGCUGGCGCCUGUCCCCGGGCACCCUGCCGAGCCCGCGGCGCGGCCGCGCCUGAUCCUUCCCCGGGUGCACCCUCGGGAUGGGGCAGGGGCUGGCGGCUGCCGUGGGACGGAGCCCCCUGGGCCGGGGCUCUGCGGGGUCCGGCUGGCAGCUCCCCGCGCGGCCCCGUGCCCCCGUGCUGCCGGGGGGGUGGGGGGUGGCCCCCCGGGGCCGUGGCGGUGGCACCGCGUGUGGGCGUGCGCACGGAGCAGCGCCGUGAUUCAUCCCCUGGAUCCGGUUGUUUUGAGGUCACCGAGCGGGGGGAGGAGGAUAUUUUUGGUGGCGGCUUCUGAAGUUGCAGUGUCUAGAGAACCUCGGCGGCCACGGGAGCCGUGCCCAGGGUGGCUGCGGCGUGCUGGUGGCAGCGGGCCCCGCUCCAUCCCUCGCCGCCUGCCAUGGCCGGGGGAGCGGGCGCGGGCUCCCCGACCCCCUGCGCUGCAGGCCCGGCUCUGCCGGGGGCUCACGGGGCCACACGGAGCCGCCAGGUUAUGCUGUCCCAACACCGCCCUCUGAGACCUCGUGAGAAGGAGAAGGGCUAAGGGUGCCCCGCGGCUAGCGCCAUGAGCCACUCCCAGGUGUCCUCCGAGAUCCACCACAUCGUCUCGUCGGCCUUCGAGAGCGUAAGUGGGGACGGGGGGGCCGGGGGGCUGCGGGCGGUGGUCUGCCAGGAUUGGGGAACCGCAGCGUCCUGGGGCACGGCACAGAGCAGGAUGGCACGGCACGGCACGGCCCUGCUGGAGCGCGGGGCCGCACAGUGCCCAGCCCGGUGCGCUGCCGUGGGGCAGGGCUGUGGGGCAGGGGGUGCCCUCGAGGGGAGGCUGUGCCGGUGCCGUGCCCGGUGCCAGCACACGGCGGGGCUCUGCUGGGGUUUCUGGGGCUGCCGGGAGCGGGGUUAAUGAUUAACCCCUCGUGGCACGCGGGAUGGCUGCCCCAAGCCAUUGGGCACGGCCCCAUCGCCGCGGCACGUGAUCGGGGAUGGGACCUGCGGGUGGCACAGGCGCCGUGGCCCCGGCCCCUUCCUCAGUGCUCCGCCACCCAUGGAUUUCCUCCUGCACCCCCCGGUAAGCCGUGGCCUCGCGUCCCGCACUGCCCGGCCACGGGGUCCUGUCCCCACCCACCCUGGGGCCCGGUGGCUGUGCCGGGCUGGUGGCAGUGCCACCAGCGUGCCCAGGGCGUGGGGCAUCGCCCGCCAGAGCCACUCCUGGGAUGGGGAGGGCUCAGCCCUGGGGACCCA